CCUACGGGUGGCAGCAGUGAGGAAUAUUGGUCAAUGGGCGGAAGCCUGAACCAGCCAAGUAGCGUGCAGGAUGACGGCCCUACGGGUUGUAAACUGCUUUUAUACGGGAAUAACGCGCCUUACGUGUAGGGCUUUGCAUGUACCGUAUGAAUAAGGACCGGCUAAUUCCGUGCCAGCAGCCGCGGUAAUACGGAAGGUCCGGGCGUUAUCCGGAUUUAUUGGGUUUAAAGGGAGCGUAGGCCGCAUGUCAAGCGUGCUGUGAAAUGUCCGGGCUCAACCCGGGCCUUGCAGCGCGAACUGGCGUGCUUGAGUCCGCGGAAAGCAGGCGGAAUUCGUCGUGUAGCGGUGAAAUGCUUAGAUAUCACACAGAACACCGAUUGCGAAGGCAUCUCACGAAUCCGCGAUUGACGCUGAUGCACGAAAGCGUGGGUAUCAAACAGGAUUAGAUACCCUAGUAGUC
rnacentral:rRNA from 1 species